rnacentral:tRNA from 1 species
GACCCUAUCGUCUAACGGUUAGGACAUCGCCCUCUCAAGGCGGUAACACGGGUUCAAAUCCCGUUAGGGUCG